UACGUAGGGGGCAAGCGUUGUCCGGAAUUAUUGGGCGUAAAGAGCGCGUAGGCGGUCCGAUAAGUCGGCUGUGAAAGUCAAGGGCUCAACCCUUGAAAGCCGGCCGAUACUGUCGGACUAGAGUCCGGAAGAGGCGAGUGGAAUUCCCGGUGUAGCGGUGAAAUGCGCAGAUAUCAGGAGGAACACCAGUGGCGAAGGCGGUGCUCUGGGCCGGAACUGACGCUGAGGAGCGAAAGCGUGGGGAGCAAACAGG
rnacentral:rRNA from 1 species